ensembl:lincRNA C630028M04Rik RIKEN cDNA C630028M04 gene
AGAUCCAGCGUGUUCUGUGCCUGAUGGAAGGAACAGUGGUUUAAGAAGCAGAGUACUCACGCUAAAAUAACAGCUCUAUUGCUAAUUAAAGAAUUCUGUCAAGGAUGCUGGACCGAAGUUUAACAGUGCUGUUGGAAGGAUCAGUGGACCUUGGCUGUGAACCUCAGUGGUCAGCUUUUAUUCAACUGUACUUUUCUUCUGUUGAUUGUGUUCCAUAUUUCUACAUUGUUUGGAGUGCAUUGUAGCUGUCUUCAGACACACCAGAAGAAGGCAUUGGAUCCCAUUACAUAUGGUUGGCAGCCACCAUGUGCUUGCUGGGGAUUGAACUCAGGACUCUGGAAGAGGAAUUGGUGCUCUUAACUGCUAUUUAUCUCUCCAGCCUUGUUUCUACUUUUUAAAUUGUUUAUUAACUGAGGAGUGAAGCUAAUUCUUUAAAAAGGCUUUAUCACUACUGCCACAUAUAAGCCUUUAUUGUUGAAAUUCCUAAUUUAGAUUAAUAUUAUUAAAGUUCAUGUAUUACUGAAUAUCAUCAUGAACAUUCACAGACACAUAUUUUUUCAUUGUUACAAUCCAACAGUAUAUUCCUCAAUUUGUAUAUCUUAUUGCUUGGCAUUGUAACAGAUUCAUUGAUAGAAAUAUCUUCUCUUUGUUAAUAAAAUGGAAAGGAUUCAUAAGAUUAAUUACCUUGUUUCUAGAUGCUGCCAUGGAUACAUACAUACAUAUAUACAUACAUACAUAUAUAUAUAUAUACAUAUGUGUAUAUAUAUGUGUGUGUGCGUGUGUGUAUAUAUGUGUGUGUGUAUAUACAUAUACACAUAUAUACAUAUAUAUGUAUCCAUGUUGUUCAAUAUUCUCAAUAUUCUUAUAUUAUUAUAAAAACUUGAAAAAUAUUACAAAUCCACAUAAAUAUUUAACUAUGUUUUAUUAUUAGCUUAAAUUAAUAAAUAUCAAUUAAAUGUAGCUAUUUUGAACUAAUUAUGGCAUACUUACUGAUUUUCAUUUUUCUUUCUAAAGAAUGCUGUUUUGCUUCAUUUUCUGUGACUAACAAUAGCACAAUAUAGACUGUUAUAAAGAAGAGAGAUUCAUGUUGGCUUACACUUCAGGAGUUUUAAAAGCUUAUGGGCCAUAUCUAAAUGACAUUUUGGUUCUUACAGAAUUGCAGACACCAUAUAAUAUGAUACAGAUAAUGUGAAUUAGUUUAAUCUCUUUCUCUCUCAUUUUAUAAAGCUACUAGAAACAAACAUGAGUAUUAGCAUUCAGUGAUUCAACCUCCAUUCUGAUGACGAAAUCUCUUUCUAAACAUUUCCUAACAUUUCCACCUCUAUCAAAACUAUGUGAUGAAGUCUCAACACUGAUAGUGAAAUACCUUCCACUGGAAAUUAUAUCCCAUAUGAGUUUUGCAGGGACACGCCAUUUCCGAUUACACCAAACUACAUCGGCUAAGUGUUUUAGAACCUCAGAAUUAAUUCUGACUCUACCAAAUAGCAACUGUGAUCCGCGACAGUGAGUGCGAUCAUUUGACCGGUUGCUUUGGCUUUCUUUCUGUAAACGGAAAUGAUAUUCAUAGCCAUCUGUCGCAAAGUUGCUAUGAGGAUUAACUAAGCUAACAGACUAAUAUGUUGAGUGUCAGCACCGAGACAAACAGGGCUUAAAAUGUAAGUCCAGUGUAAGCAUAAACUAUCUCCACUUCCCCUCUUGAAAACAGUUCUGCUUUUUGAAAUACUGCUUAUUCUCGGCACAGAUUUUAUUUUUCUCGAUCUGUUCAUGCCUUGAAUUGUUUUUGUAAGACUGUAAUUUUUCCUCUGAUUUGAAUUUUACUGAAUCCCGAUUGCUGUUCAAGACUUCCUUUAAAGUUCUUAGUCUGGUAAAUCUGAAUUUCAUUUGCAUUCAUCUUCACAUCCCAGAUUUCCCCCUUCUUGAGCACUCGCUUUCAUUUCAAUGCAUCUGCAUUCUCUAAGGUCUAACUUAUCACAUGAAUCUUAUAUUUUCUUCUGUUCAAAAUUGUUUGCAAUGAUUGUUCUAACAUUGAGCGAUUGACACGGUGUCUACCUAGAGCCUGCACUGCUAUGGACUUGUGUUCAUAAUACUGGAAGGUAUUUUGAAUGUUACCCAUGGAGAAAGGUCAAUGCCAACCCAGUUACAAACUUUUCAGUCUACAAUGAUGAUCUGCCUGCAAGAUGUGCUAGUGCAACAGUAGCAAAAAGCUUGUGGAAGUAACCACGAAAUUACAUAACUUGAUUUAGGCCCACUCCAUGAAACUGAGACUGUUUGCAUCACAGAUUGGAUGGGCAAGAAGCUAAGACCAGAUAGGCCAACGACCUACACCAAUGACCAAAUAUUACUGUUCAGCUAAAGGAAAAUAGCCAUAACAUGAUUGUUACAGGCCUUCUGGUAUCGCCAUAGGUUUUAUGAUGUUACAAUAGAAAACAAAGAUUGGUACACAAAUAUCAGAAAUAGCAAUGACUCUCAAUUAAGGUAUAUACAAAGUGAUGUUAAAUUAAGGAUGAGCUAUGUUAUAAAAGAUAAAAUGAAAAAAUAUAUGGAGAGAUCUCUGGAAAAAUCUUUGUGGAUGACCACUACAACACUCCAGCGAGCUUUGAAAGAACUGGUGGUGACUACUAACAGCCAAUAGUGGAAAUAACCAGCCACAUUUUACAAUGCAAGAUGAGCCAUUGGACUUCGUUGACUUCAAUUUUACAAAUUUUGGUUUAAAAACAAAAUUAUUUCGAAAUAAUUUACCAUUACCUGGCUUACCUAUUAAAAUCUAUUUUUCAUGAUUUUGACAAUUUCUUUCGAUCCUUCUCUUAGUGAGCUUAAUGUUUUGUGGUUGAAUUUUCAAAGCACGAUUAUGUUUUUUAAACUUUGUUCUCAAUGGCCGGUAUCAAGCCGAAGAUGUUUGAAUUUAAGACUGAAGCAAGAUUGGAUGCUGAGAAGGUUGGUGGUUUUCAGAGCACAGAUAGAGAAUGUUAGUUCUGCCUGGAUCAUGUUCUGUUUUCUCAUUUUUGAUUUGAAGAAGCCAUACAUGGAUGUGCAUGUUUCAGUAUUUAACUUGCCAUUGGAUCUGUGUUUUGCCUUCUGCCCCUAUAUGUUUUAUUGCAAAGAGAGGGGAGAACAGGGGAUGGCAAAAAUAACCAUAGCUCUUCAAAGUCUUGACUUCUGGUUCACUUGGAGAUGCCCGAGUGAGGCUCUUAAGGAGGAAAAGAUAAAACCUUUCUGUGCUUCAGGAAAGGUGAUCCCUGUAUAAACCAUGGAAUAUUUCAUAGCUCAGUUGCAGAACUCAAGUUGUUGUUUCACACUCUAAGUGUCUUUCUCAGCACAUUUUAAUGUGCAUAUUUACCUGGAUAUAGCUGUGAUGUAAAGAAUAUAAUGAAUAAAUUAUUUAUUGGC